rnacentral:rRNA from 1 species
ACAGCAGUCGCCGCGGGAACACGGAGGGGGCUAGCGUUGUUCGGAAUUACUGGGCGUAAAGCACACGUAGGCGGCUUGGUAAGUUAGAGGUGAAAGCCUGGAGCUCAACUCCAGAAUUGCCUUUAAGACUGCCGAGCUAGCAGGUGAGAGAGGUAAGUGGAAUUCCGAGUGUAGAGGUGAAAUUCGUAGAUAUUCGGAAGAACACCAGUGGCGAAGGCGGCUUACUGGCUCAUACUGGACGCUGAGGUGCGAAAGCGUGGGGAGCAAACAGGAUUAGAUACCCGCGUAGUCCCUGUCUCUUAUAC